rnacentral:siRNA from 1 species
AAGCUUUUGUGAUUGGUAACUA